UAACAAGGAUUCCCCUAGUAACUGCGAGUGAAGCGGGAAGAGCUCAAAUUUAAAAUCUGGCAGUCUCCUGGCUGUCCGAGUUGUAAUCUGGAGAAGCGUUUUCUGUGUUAGACCGUGUACAAGUCUCCUGGAACGGAGCGUCAUAGAGGGUGAGAAUCCCGUCCAUGACACGGACUACUAAUACUUUGUGAUACGCUCUCGAAGAGUCGAGUUGUUUGGGAAUGCAGCUCAAAAUGGGUGGUAAAUUCCAUCUAAAGCUAAAUACAGGCGAGAGACCGAUAGCGAACAAGUACCGUGAGGGAAAGAUGAAAAGCACUUUGGAAAGAGAGUUAAACAGUACGUGAAAUUGUUGAAAGGGAAACGCUUGAAGUCAGUCGCGUUGUGCAGAACUCAGCCUUGCCUCGGCUUGGUGUACUUUCUGCACAACGGGUCAACAUCAAUUUUGGCCCAUGGAGAAAGGUGGGGGGAAUGUAGCGCUGUUUCGGCAGCGUGUUAUAGCCCUCCACUGUAUACAUGGGCUGGGAUUGAGGAACGCAGCACGCCCUUGUGGCCGGGGGUUCGCCCCACGUACCGUGCUUAGGAUGUUGGCAGAAUGGCUUUAAGCGACCCGUCUUGAAACACGGACCAAGGAGUCUAACAUGCUUGCGAGUGUUCGGGUGGAAAACCCUUGUGCGUAAUGAAAGUGAAAGUUGGGAACCUCCGCAAGGGGGUGCACCGACGCCCGGCCCUGACGUUCUCUGACGGUGCUGCGGUACAGCAAGUAUGCUAGGACCCGAAAGAUGGUGAACUAUGCCU
rnacentral:rRNA from 1 species